rnacentral:rRNA from 1 species
CCUACGGGUGGCAGCAGUGAGGAAUAUUGGUCAAUGGUCGCGAGACUGAACCAGCCAAGCCGCGUGAGGGAUGAAGGUACAGAGUAUCGUAAACCUCUUUUGUCAGGGAACAAAGGCGGGGACGUGUCCCCGGAUGAGUGUACCUGAAGAAAAAGCAUCGGCUAACUCCGUGCCAGCAGCCGCGGUCAUACGGAGGAUGCGAGCGUUAUCCGGAUUUAUUGGGUUUAAAGGGUGCGCAGGCGGUCUGUUAAGUCAGCUGUAAAAGCCCGGGGCUCAACCCCGGCCCGCCGUUGAAACUGGCAGUCUCGAGUGGGAGAGAAGUAUGCGGAAUGCGCGGUGUAGCGGUGAAAUGCAUAGAUAUCGCGCAGAACUCCGAUUGCGAAGGCAGCAUGCCGGCUCCACACUGACGCUGAGGCACGAAAGCGUGGGUAUCGAACAGGAUUAGAUACCCGUGUAGUC